CCCAUCUCAGGAUCGCACCUGGAGAGUUUCCAGUCCUCUACCAGUCUCGACUACAGGAGGGAGAGUCAAGCAGAGGCCUACCCAUUCCGUUCCUAGCAUGGCCAGGGGCUAGCGAGUGGCACACAAUCUGCUACAAGU